rnacentral:rRNA from 1 species
UACGAAGGGGGCUAGCGUUGCUCGGAAUCACUGGGCGUAAAGCGCACGUAGGCGGCUUUCUAAGUCAGGGGUGAAAUCCUGGAGCUCAACUCCAGAACUGCCUUUGAUACUGGAAGGCUUGAGUCCGGGAGAGGUGAGUGGAACUGCGAGUGUAGAGGUGAAAUUCGUAGAUAUUCGCAAGAACACCAGUGGCGAAGGCGGUGCUCUGGGCCGGAACUGACGCUGAGGAGCGAAAGCGUGGGGAGCAAACAGG